rnacentral:snRNA from 1 species
GUGCUCGCUUCAGCAGCACAUACACUAAAAUUAGAAUGAUACAAGAGAUUAGCAUGCCCCCUGCGUAAGGAUGACACACAAAUUUGUGACUGCUUCCACGUUUUU